CAGUGACACUCCCACCUGAAACUCUUGAUAUCAACAUAAAUUCAAACUGUCAUUUAUUCAUGUGCUCCCAUCUUCUACAACAUGGACAUUUUCAUAUAUUGUCACCUCACUUUUUUGGUAUUUCUGCUUUGGAUCAAAGGUCUAAUUGAUGCCAAGGAUGUCACACAAACUCUCAUGCUGUGGGAACAACGGGGUAAUAAUGCAACAAUGGACUGCAGCCAUACCAAGGGUCCUACCUAUUAUCAGAUGUACUGGUACAGACAGCUGCCAGGAGAAAAUAUGGAACUGAUUGUGUUCACAACAACAGCCAAAAAAUAUGAUCACGACUUUGGAAAAUUCAGCAAAGAGAAAUACUCAGCCACAAAGACUGAGGCUCACGAUGGGACAUUUACAGUGAAGGACCUGGAGCCAAAAGACAGCGGCUGGUAUUUCUGUGCCGUCAGUGAGCACAGUGAUACAGACUCAUGUGAAAGCUGAACAAAAACCCCACUGAAUGGUUGGCACAAGUGUUGCAAUUAUUCCCUGUACUG